rfam:Treponema sp. OMZ 838, complete genome.
AAAACGCUGCGAGUUUGCGUAAGCGCAAACAUCGCGUAUUAACAUGUGCGCUACCGCGCACGAAUGCAACAAUUUCCAAAGUUCAUACUUUGUUCAACUGUUGCAUUUUAAG